UUUUUACUACCCUGAACGCACCAGAUCUGAUCUCAUCUGAUCUCGGAAGCUAAGCAGGGUCUGGCCUGGUUAGUAUUUGGAUGGGAUUCUGGGAUCAUAACUUGAGCCAAAAU
rnacentral:rRNA from 1 species